AUUUGGAAAGCUAAAAUUCCUCUUAAGAUCAAAAUCUUUAUGUGGUAGUUGUUUCAGGACGCGGUUCUGACUAGAGAUGUUAUGAAACGUCGAAAAUGGCCAGGAAAUGCUAAGUGUUCGUUUUGUGCUGCUUGUGAGAUGGCACAACAUCUUUUUUUCCUCUGCCCAGUUGCCAGGGUGGUCUAG
rnacentral:rRNA from 1 species